rnacentral:rRNA from 1 species
UACGUAGGGUGCGAGCGUUGUCCGGAAUUAUUGGGCGUAAAGGGCUCGUAGGCGGUUUGUCGCGUCGGGAGUGAAAACCCAGGGCUUAACCCUGGGCCUGCUUCCGAUACGGGCAGACUAGAGGUAUGCAGGGGAGAACGGAAUUCCUGGUGUAGCGGUGAAAUGCGCAGAUAUCAGGAGGAACACCGGUGGCGAAGGCGGUUCUCUGGGCAUUACCUGACGCUGAGGAGCGAAAGCGUGGGGAGCAAACAGG